GGGGAUUUAGCUCAGCUGCAUGAGCACCUGCUUUGCAAGCAGGUGAUUAUGAGUAUGAUCCCUG
rnacentral:tRNA from 1 species